GUCCACGCCGUAAACGAUGAGAACUAGAUGUCGGGAGGGUUGCCUUUCGGUGUCGCAGCUAACGCGUUAAGUUCUCCGCCUGGGGAGUACGCCGGCAACGGUAAAACUCAAAGGAAUUGACGGGGACCCGCACAAGCGGUGGAGCAUGUGGUUUAAUUCGAUGCAACGCGAAGAACCUUACCUGCCCUUGACAUCCUCAGAACUUGUUAGAGAUAACUUGGUGCCUUCGGGAAUUGAGUGACAGGUGCUGCAUGGCU
rnacentral:rRNA from 1 species